GCAGAGAUCUGGCCCAUAAGAGCUCAGAUCUGGACUACUGCGACCAAUGAGUGGCACGUCUGAGGAAUAACAGACAGCUUCGCCGGUCAACAUUUCCAUUCAUACAAAAAGAUGGAGCCAGAUAUCAACCUGAGCGGGAUCAAAACACACGGAAGAUUUGACCCCCCGUUAAGGCUGGCGGGGGAUCCGGGGGUGUGUGACAGACGGGUCAUUAAGCCGACAAGUGUACGGGCCGCAGAAAUGCGCUCUGGACCUCCACGAGCUCGUCCCCUUUUCGGAAUCACCCCGUCGGCAUGGAAAGAAGCUUAAGUGGAACCGUGAAGAUCAGUACACUUCUAGUUCAGAUGACAGCUGGGGUCUCACCCACCCACCCACGCGCACGCAGGAACGUCGACCCUCUGACGCAGCUGAUGGGAUUCUUCGUGGCCCCUGCCUGCACCAGUGAAGGGCGGAAAGAUGCUGCGUGAAGAGGUGCUGGAGGUAUAACAUGCUAAUCCGGGGGUGGGAGGGUACUGGCACUAGAUUUAACAAAUCUAACCGUUUCCAUUUUUUUUAUAUGACAUCAGAACGCUCCAAUGUUAGGGAUAGUUUAAAAAAUUGGAAUUUAAAAGAAUAGAAAAAAGGAAACCCCUUCUUUAAAUGAAAGAU